AUCGAAUUUUGGCCGAAUACAAGAAAACAUGUGACAUCACCUAAAAAACCACCAUCAAAUCAUGUUGUUAUAUAAAAAUUAGAUGAUUUCACAUUGAUGGCAAUCAAGAGAAAAAUUCAUCAAUUUUUUUUCAAGAAUGAAUUACCAACCAUAGACAAAGUUUUGGCUGCUGUAAAUGAAGACCAGGACUUGGAUGUACAAUAUUUUUAAAAAAAAUUUCGUACCUAAAGCGGACGAGAAACAGUAUUUUACUAGAAAAGCCCGACUUAAUGACGUGGAGGACAAAUUAUUUACUUAGAAUAGAAAAUUACCGCAAAGAAAAUAAGAAGAUUUACUAUACUGAUGAGACAUGGUUGAAUGAAGGACACACUGCAAACUACAUUUGGGUCGACCAAGACAUUGCAAAUAGCCGCCAAGCGUUUUUAAAUGAGCUAUCCACAGGCCUUAAAAACCCAAAAACGAAAACGCUUGAUACUCACGCAAAUAGGUAAAUAGGUAGCGAAGAUGGUUUUCUGGAAGGGGGAGUAUGUAUAUUCAAGGCCAAGAAAACCGAUGCUGAAGGCGAAAUCCAUGGUGAAUUGGACUCUCACAAUUAUGAAAAAUGGUUCGCGCAAAUACUUAAUGUAAUUGAACCUGUGUCGGCAGUCGUGUUAGAUAACGCACCGUACUACUCAAGACUGGUACUACUGGACAUACAACAGUGGCUGCAAGAGAAAGAGUUACAUUAUCUCGGAAAUGACACGAAAGCAAUAUUGCUAACAAAGUUUGACAAAGCAAACUUUAAAAAGAAAGUGAUUGAUGACAUGGCAGACAAAAAAAUAUAAGUUUUACGCCUUCAUUGUGAAUUAAAUCCCAUCAAGUUGAUAUGGGCUCAGCUUAAAUCUUACUGAACUGAACUGUUCACUUUAUAAAACGCACCUGCGCAAGUUUAAAAAAUCCUGUUCUUUUACUUAUGGACAACCACGAGUCAAAUCUAAAAAUUGAAGCAUUAAAUUUGGCUUAAAGGUCCGGCGUGACUGUUCUCACUUUACAUCCUCACACAACUGCGAAAAUGCAGCCACAAAAGGUCGCUUUUGGCAAAUUUUUUAAAGACUUGAAAAUAUUGAAGCCAGAUCCGGCCUUGCCAUACAAUCAUAAAAACUUGUUACACAUUGAAAAAAUGCAUAGUUCAUUGUUAGGGAAAAAUAGUGUGUCAUUAGUGGAGGCAUAAUGGAACACAUAUAUUAAUUAAAUAAUAAUCAUUGUGUGUACCGUACAGCACAGAUAACGGUACGUUCACACGGAGACACGAUUUGCCGAAUCUUAUUUUCAUCGGAUCUGGAAAAACCGAAUGUUGUAUUCACACAGCACAUCUUGUUUGGCCGUAU
rnacentral:misc_RNA from 1 species